CUUGUCAACUUUGAUACCAGGGACAAUCUUUUGCUCAACAAGAACAUCGACCAUCUUUUUCCCAUCGAUGGUAGAUUGGUAGAGAGUCUCCUCGAAAAGGAUAGCUCCCGAGAUGUAGUCACCGAGGCCAGGGGCAGACACGAGAAGUGUACGGUAAGCUUGCCGGUUUGCCUCGGUAUUCUCGAGACCAAUCGAGGCAAGCCGUUUCCCACAUGUAGCAUUUGAUUCAUCCAUGGCCAAAAUACCACGACCUGGAGAUGCAACAGUUUUCUACAUCCAAACAAAGAAAUAAUAUUUGAGCAUGCACGAGAUAAAAAUACGAUUCAAGACUACAUUAAUUCUAAGACAUACCGCGGUCUUAACAAGCUCGUCGGCAUAUGAACUAGCACGGACGGUAAAGGCGACCGAUGUAGGGUGUGACCGUACAAAACAAACCGAAGGGUGGCGGAGGUUUUGGCCCUUAAUCCACUCGGACUUGUCGAUAAUAGGUGAAGACUUGAGGAGAGUAGCGGAAGCAGAAGCCAUUUUUCUUGGGCUUUGAGAGGGCUAAUCAAUGAAGCAAGUCGAAGGGGCUUUAUUAUGUUUAGUUUUUCACUAUAAUCUUAUCUCUUCAAUCCUGGCCUUCCUUCACCACACAUGCAAGUCUCACUCACUGGAUUUUAUACUUGCGUUUGUCUAUACUAUCACUAUACCAGAAGAUGUCGCAUUUGAGGCUGUCGUGCUCCGACCAAUGCUCUUGUGCCAUGUGGAUGAUAAUUUUGCACACUUGGCCGGGAUGCAUUCCGUGGUUGAUAUGGAUGAUUCUAUACUCACCUCGUAAAACAUUGUUUCAAAUACGUUUAUUUUUUUCCCUUUUUUUCAAUUUGCUUUUAUUUUUUAUUUAAUUUAAAAAAAAUUUAAAGGUUUACUAUAACAUUUGUUACCUGAAUUUGACACUUUUUUCUAUUUUGGUACCUAAUUUUUUUGGUCCAAUUUGAUAUUCAAACUUGACUCUUUUUUCUAAUUUGAUACCUAUUUUUUUUUGGUUCGAUUUGGUAUUUGUCAAAUGUUUUUACAAAUUACUCCAAUAUCUAACAAUGUUAUUCUUUUACAAGGUAGCAAAAAUAAUCAAUAUAUUUUAUAUGUUCAAUUACUUUUAGUUUUAUUUAAUUAAUUAUUUUAUUAAUUGAAAAUAAUGAAUUUCUUUUAAUUUGGAGUUUUUUAAAAUAUUUUUUUCUUAUUUAAUACUAAUUCAUUAACCAUAGUCAAAUAUCUAUUUUUUUAACAUGAAUUUCCUAUAACAAUAACAAUAUUUUUGUAGCAUAACCAAAAAAAUUUUAACACCGUUAGUGUUUUGCAUAAUUUGUAUAACAUUUAAUAAAUUUAGUUACCAAAUUGAACCUAAAAAAAACUUAGGUACCAAAUUAGGAAAAAAAUGCCAGGUUCAGGUGCCAAAUUGGGCCCAAAAAAAUUUAGGUACCAAAUUAGGAAAAAAAAUGUAAAGUUUAGGUUCCAAAUGUUAUAUUAAGGUGAAAUUAAAAUAUCAUUCAUUCUGUGUUGUAGCUAUUUUUUCCAACAAUAUAUCUUUAAAGUUUGAUAGUAAAUUCUGUCUAAAAGUACAAUAUGUCUUACUAUUACAUUUAAUAUUUGUUCAUAAAGUCAAAAUGUAAUUAAUAAUAUUAUUAACAGGUUUCUUUUUUUUUCUUUUUGAAUAAUAUUAACAGGUUCCUAUUAAACUAGAAUAUGUGGCAUUUUAAAUGGGAUGAUUGAGUCGAUUAUAUUGAUAAUAAACUUAAGUGGAUAAAAAUUUGAAAAGUAUAAAAAUUGGAGGGUUAAAAUAUGUAAUAUAGUUGCUGUACUUUUUGAAAAUUAAGAAUUUAGUCCUUGUAUUUGUAUUUUUAAAAAAAUUAAAUCUUCUAUCUUUCAAAUUUUAAAAUUUAAGUCCAUCUGCUAACACUAGAUUUGAUCAUUGGUCAAGCUGGAUUCGGGCCAAGUCGAUGUAGAAAUUUAGGCUUAGACUUAGCCUGAAAAAUAGACUUAAAAUUCUAUUCAAAUCUGACCCAAAUUAAAUAUGCUAAACCCAAGCCCUAUACGACUUAUCCUAUUAAAAUUUUUAAAUUAUUUUUUAUAUUUAAAAAUAUAAUACACCAAAUUCACUAAAAAUAUUAAAAUCAAAAAAAAUAACAACCGAAAUUAGACAUUUGAGGGUAAAGUUUUGGGUUACAAAAUUCAUCAAUUUAUAGCAACAAAAAGGAUGUGGUGUUAAGUUUAUUACAUUGACUAGUAACAAAAUUAGUCUUCAAAAAUGAAUACCUAACCUUAAAUAUUAAUUUGUUAGUUAGGUUGUUUUUACACACUAACCUCUCCAAAUAAAUAUUAAUCAAAUAUCGUGGUUUUUUUUUUUUAGAAAACGAGUUUUAAUUUUUAUUCAAGUUUAUUUUUUAAUUUUAUAUUUUUGUUUAAACUUUCUCAGUUUUCAAGUGGUUCUUCGGGCCUAAACAGAUGGUUCAACUCAUGAUCAGGUCUAAUUAAUACCGUUAACUUUCUUUGUUAAAUUUGUUGCAAUGACAUUUUGAAAUUAAAAAAAAUAACCACUUGAUAGCCAUGUAAAUAAAAACAACAUGUUGUAAUUAACUUGAAUUUAACAAAAACAAAAAUGGUAUUAACAGUUAGACCUGAAUUUUGAAAUCUGAAAAGUAGAUGACUAAAAAUUCCUGGAAAUACAAGUACAAUGAAUAAAUUCCUAAGGUUUGAAAGUACAGGGACUAUAUGGAUAAUUUAACCAAAUUGAGGGCAUAAUUAGACAUUUCAAACAAUACGGCAUAUUGAAGAGUACAAAUGCAUGAUAUUCAGAAAGGAGUUUAGAGUGUGGGUAAAAGAGAGAUUCCUUCUCAACUGAAAGUAACCAAAUAUGAGGUUCUAAAUUUGUGCAGGUUAAUGGCUGUGGUUUUGAAGUGAAGCCCCCACAUCGGACGGUUGACAGAAUGCCAUCCCUUGAGAUUUUUCUUUCAUGAGGACCUCGGAGAAUGGAGCCAAAAGCAUAUGAUAUGAAGUGUGGCUAAGAUUCAUGAAAACUGGGCUUCUGUUUGCAUUUGUGGCCAACUGCAACGCCUAUAAGAAUUAACCAAAAACCCCUGAUUCAUGAUAAUGACUGCCGAAAUUUUUCAAACAAAAAACGAUCGGAAAAAAUGAAAAAUUUCCGUUGCCGGGACUUGAACCCGGGUCUCUCGGGUGAGAGCCGAGUAUCCUAACCACCUAGACUACAACGGAAUCUUGUUUGUUAAUUUGAAUAAAAUAAUUUAAGUCAUUUAUUGAUUAAGUUGCUAUUGAACUUCCUACAGUAUUCCGGAUUUUUAGUAUUUUUUUCUCACCCAUAUAUAAAAAGUUACAAAGAAUCAAUAAAUUUAUCAAUUUAUAACCUUUUGGUUACUUGUCUCUUAACUCAAUAUGACAUAGAUAGGCUUAAUAGCUAAUUUGGUCCCUAAACUAUAACUAAAAUAUUAAUUUCAUACUUUCCUGAAGUGUGAUAUGAUUGUACAUGUUGGAGGUAGAAGGACCCAUGGGAGGUAUCUCUUGUUGAGGCAGAGAGUUGAGGUUUGUCAUUCUUUAGUAGGCAACAUUUUAUGUUUGUUUGUAAUUUUGGAAAGCCUGCUAAAAUUCUUUCCUUUGCUUGUAGUUUCCUGGGGAUAAGCCUGGUCGUUUGGAGGAACCAGGUUUACAACCGCUCAGUCCGAAUGAAGUAAGGAAGGAUCUGAAUCAGCAGUCAAAGCUUGCAGUGAGAGAGAACCGGCAAAACCAUGGAGUCUCUCGUGUUCAAUUGCUUGAUGAUAAUGCUAAGGGUGAUAGAAAGGUAGGAAAUGAGUUGAUUGAUCUAAAUGCCAAGCCACAACGGGUGCAGGUGCAAGCUUCAAUCAAUCAGGUAUUGUCGUUUGACUAGCUUUUUUCGUUCUUAAACUUGAAUGCUAAGCAGUGUAGUAAGAUGUUCUUUUAGAACUUAAUUAACGAGGUGACUGUUUCGUGUUUUAGAAGCAAGCCAUGGAUGUUUCGAGUGGCAAUAAUCAUGACUCUACAAGUGUGGUCCCUGUUGGAUGCUUCAAACGAGAGCCUGAAAAAUGAGCUAGGUAUAACUAUUAUCACCUACGUAUAGUUACUUCUUUUAAGAGCAUUGUAACCAUUUGGCUCUAAGAAUUUUCUGUUUUUAUGUUCAUUUCUUGAUACUUCAUUAUAGAUGCUCGUUACGUAUUUGAUAUCAAAUUAGUAAAGUGUACAAAUAAUUAAUAGGAUUUCCCAAGAAGGUAGGCUUCCUUUCACAUGACAUUGGUGCUUAGAUAGCAUUUUCCAAGACUUGUCUGGUUUUUCAAAGUAGAGCUUGACCUGCUGAGCAGUUCCUCACUCCCAUAGUCAUAUGAGAAACAGAUGGACCGGCAUCUAGUUGUUUAUGAAUCAUUAAACUAUAGAGUAAGAAUGUCUAGGCUUUUGUAUUAGGGGCAAGUUCUGCUAACGUUUUUGAGAGAAAUGGUAUCCGGUGCAAGUAACCUUUAAUCUUCAUGCAUAUGGCUAGACUGCUAAAUAACUUUUGAUCCCAAAAGAUGGUAACAUGGCGGCUUCUGCUUGCCUAUCUAUCUCAUGGUUUCUCUCUCUUACUUUAGGCUCGUGUAGAACAAAACUAUCCGGCUGGUUCUAAGGUUACUCUUACGUUCCCCUCAAAAUAUGCACACACACACACAUGCGCUCACGAACAGCUAACCAUUCUUUCUACUCCUUUGAUAAUUGAAUGAGGUUUCUUAUGAGAUAAUGUUGUCCAUCAAUGUUUGGCUGCAGAUACAGCUGAAUCAGUUCUCGCACAUCUAUGUAUUUAUCGAGUGAAGCGCUUGCCUUUGUUAGAUAUGUCUUCCUUCCCCAUGGAUUAGUCAUUAUUACCGGUGAAUUAGAAUGACUAGUUGCCAUCAAAUUGUAAGUGGGAAAUAGAAGAGUAAUGGUGAGGAAAUUUUAACUUUUGAAAGGAAAAAAUUCCCCUGCUUGUUUCUCCGGAAAAUGUCUUUCCUUUUUCUGGUCGAAUUUUUGGCCUGAAAGCAGAACAAGCAGUGGGAGAGUAUGAAUCAUGUUGCUCUUCCACCCCUUCUUAGUGGCAUCCGUUUUACCUUUGCUUAACUUCCAUUAUGGUGUUUCUUCUAUUUUUGCCACACUCAAAUAGCAGCUGAAAUUUUUUUGGAUGGAAUCCAAUAAUAAGAUGGAGGAAUGUUGUGAAAAAUACAGUUUAACUGUGUAAGUAGAUCUCUCUAUAGGUUGGGUCGGAUUCAGUCAAGCACUCAGGCAUGUGCAAGUCUAUUUCAAUUUUAAUGCUUAAGGAUCCUAGGUUAAACAAUUGGUUUAACUCCACGGAAAAUGGAUAGUAAAAGAGAACAUCUCACGUCCAAUUCGCCUAAUAUUUUUGCUUAAACUUGUUUUUCCAGUCCAACAUUUCCAAGCAGACAGUUUAGAACAACGUCGAGCAGGAUUGAGAAAUGAUAAUCCGGAAGUUAAUCAUAUCAGUCUACUCUAAUUUUUUUUUAUCACGAAAAUGCAGAUUCAAGCAUGUUUUAGUAUUUGUGAUGAUGCCAUUUAUGAGUAACCUCAUCGGCAAGAAGUUUGUUAACUAACAGUACAUUGCAAUCCAGAACAAAAACUAGUCUCCAGGGUCUAUAGAACAUUAAACACAAUGAGAAUGAAAGAGAAACCAUAUCAUGAAAUCUCCAUCAUCUCCGCUAAGCUUUGUUUGCAGCAGCUUAAUAGACAUAUCCCUUUACGAACAUUCCUUUCUUGGCCUCCUCUGAUUCUCCCUCGCCGGUGUAUUUGCCGAGCUGAGCAAGUGAGUUGGCCUUGGCACGGACAAGAAGUGAAUCCUGAGCAGCCUUAACGUUCUCAGGUCUGCCUCCCCAUGUCUUCAAGCAAGUGUUCUGGAGAGCUCUGGCAUACGAGAACGAGACGUGCCAUGGGUUUGGAGAUUGGUUCAUUGCGUUCAAGUUGAGGGUUGCUUCAACCUCGGACUGUCCGCCAGACAAGAACUGCACAACAGAAACGGUUUGUCCAAUCCGUUAGUACCGUUCAUUUUAUUAUUUUACAAUGCUUUCGUAUAGAAAAUGUACCAUGAUUCCAGGGACAGCUGGGGGGAUUCUCCUGUGGAGGAGCUUGAGGGUGUAAUCAGCAACUUGCUGUGGGGUGGCCUUGUCUUUGCAUUCAGCACCAGGAGUGACCAUGCUGGGCUUGAGAAGGAUGCCCUCAAACAUGACAUUGUUCUCAGCAAGGUAGAAGAAAACCUCAGCCCAAACCUUCUGCGCUACUUCGAAAGUCCUAUCAAUUCCAUGGUCACCAUCAAGCAAGAUUUCCGGCUCCACAAUCGGGACCAGUCCACUGUCCUGCAACACAAUGGCCACAAAAAUCCCUUCUCAACAACUAGUAGCAUACACAUAAUGAUUACUCAUCAGCUUCCUUUCUCAACUUACUUGAGAAAUGGCGGCAUAGCGAGCAAGUCCCCAAGCUGCUUCUUUAACUGCCAAGGCAGAUGGACCAUUUGGAAUGCUCACAACGGUACGCCUGUCCGAUCAAAAAGAGCUAAUAGUGUUAUACAAGAAUCCUUUAUUUCAACACUGCAUAAUAUGGUUGAGAAGUCAUCGAACAUGAGAUUACCAUUUGGCGAAACGAGCACCCUGCUGGUAGUAGGCAGCUGUGCGGGAUGAAAGACCGUCAAGACCUUGGCACCAUGACUCGUUGUUGGAACCAGGGAGUGGAACCAAACCCUGUUAUUUUGUUUACCAAAUCAUUCAGUUCCAAGUAUCCUCUUUAAAAAUAUGAAUUUGUGGAUGCUUUUUGGUUAAGCUUUAUACCUUGUCAACUUUGAUACCAGGGACAAUCUUUUGCUCAACAAGAACAUCAACCAUCUUUUUCCCAUCGAUGGUAGAUUGGUAGAGAGUCUCCUCGAAAAGGAUAGCUCCCGAGAUGUAGUCACCGAGGCCAGGGGCAGACACGAGAAGGGUACGGUAAGCUUGCCGGUUUGCCUCUGUAUUCUCGAGACCAAUCGAGGCAAGCCGUUUCCCACAUGUAGCAUUUGAUUCAUCCAUGGCCAAAAUACCACGACCUGGAGAUGCAAC
rnacentral:lncRNA from 1 species